GUAGGGAAUCUUCCGCAAUGGGCGAAAGCCUGACGGAGCAACGCCGCGUGAGUGAAGAAGGUCUUCGGAUCGUAAAACUCUGUUAUUAGGGAAGAACAAAUGUGUAAGUAACUAUGCACGUCUUGACGGUACCUAAUCAGAAAGCCACGGCUAACUACGUGCCAGCAGCCGCGGUAAUACGUAGGUGGCAAGCGUUAUCCGGAAUUAUUGGGCGUAAAGCGCGCGUAGGCGGUUUUUUAAGUCUGAUGUGAAAGCCCACGGCUCAACCGUGGAGGGUCAUUGGAAACUGGAAAACUUGAGUGCAGAAGAGGAAAGUGGAAUUCCAUGUGUAGCGGUGAAAUGCGCAGAGAUAUGGAGGAACACCAGUGGCGAAGGCGACUUUCUGGUCUGUAACUGACGCUGAUGUGCGAAAGCGUGGGGAUCAAACAGGAUUAGAUACCCUGGUAGUCCACGCCGUAAACGAUGAGUGCUAAGUGUUAGGGGGUUUCCGCCCCUUAGUGCUGCAGCUAACGCAUUAAGCACUCCGCCUGGGGAGUACGACCGCAAGGUUUG
rnacentral:rRNA from 1 species